rnacentral:ncRNA from 1 species
CAAAAUUCGUUGACGAGAAAGAGUAGUGUUUCAUUUUGUUCUACAGAGAGCCGGUAUUUUGGUGGAAGCCGGUGUGCAGAUGUUACAUGAAAAUCCUCUCCGAGAAGAUUGACCGAACGUGUGAGUAGGUCAAUCCGGGUGUCUACCGUUAAAAGGAACGCGUAUGAUUGUACGUCGCUGAGUGCUAUUGGAACGUUUUCAAUAGAAUUAGGGUGGUAUCGCGGGUUAACCCCGUCCCUUGC